UACAGAGGGUGCAAGCGUUGUUCGGAAUUAUUGGGCGUAAAGGGCGCGUAGGCGGUGCGGUAAGUCUGUAGUGAAAUCUCUGGGCUCAACUCAGAGUCUGCUGCAGAAACUGCCGUGCUUGAGUGUGGGAGAGGUGAGUGGAAUUCCCGGUGUAGCGGUGAAAUGCGCAGAUAUCAGGAGGAACACCGGUGGCGAAGGCGGGUCUCUGGGCCGUAACUGACGCUGAGGAGCGAAAGCAUGGGGGAGCGAACAGG
rnacentral:rRNA from 1 species